GUAUGACCCUUGGACAUCUGGGUGCUGUUUCCCUGCCCCAUCUUUCAGAUUGGACCUCUCCACUAUCAAUUCUUGCUGAACCAAGCUCAAGGUCACCCAUGCCUCCUUGAAUAGGUUACAUUGGAUUUUCAAUUAUUGUCUUCAGAGACUUCUUCAGUUGUGCAAACAUCUCUCCACUCUUCUGGCAAGCAGUGCUAAAGAAUACUUAAAGAACAUCUUAUGAUUCCCACAGCCCAAAAAGCUAUCAGAAGACUCCAAGAGGCCAUACCAUGACGAUUUCAGAAAAGACUUUGUGAGGUCAAAAAUACACACACUAAACCACCAAGGCAGAGCUGGAAAGGGGAGUAGAAAAGCAGAUAAAACAAGUGACCUUACAGACAGUUUUCUGCUGUCUCCUGCAGAGAGAAAUCUUUUUCCUCUCAGGUCUUCCAGAGCUCUAUUCCCUGUCUUCAAGGGGGUCAUGGGAGAAAGAAGCAAUCAAGAGAAGAAAUAAACCACGGAGAAUAGGAAUCAAUAUUUACCUUUAAAAAUCUAAAUAAAGGUAAUAGAAUUUUCAGGUUCAUCCCUGGCAUAGACAUUAAAAUGUGAGGUUUUCCUCAAAAAUAGCCAUAUAAAGUAUUUGUAU
rnacentral:lncRNA from 1 species